UGUGCAAGGGGCAGUGACAAAGAGAAUUUUCAGGAAAAGAUAAAAUCACAAACCCCUGCAGGCAUGUGCCAAAGACUGUAUUUUACGUGUUGUGCGGCCACUACCACUUUCUGCAGCCAGGAUACUUUUCAUCAGCCUGAACACAGCUCUGCCCAUAACCACGGAUUCUUUCCCUUUUCCCGCAGCCCUUGGUAACCCCGAAUCCCUCUGAAUUUGCCUAUUCCGCUCAGGAAGGUGGAAUCAUACCCCUCCCUUUUUUUUUUUUUUUUUUUUUACCAGUUUGGCUUAUUUCACAGUUUUCAAGGUCUAUCCGUGUAAUGGCGUAAGUCAAAACCUCGUUCCUUCUAAAGACGAAGUGAUAUUCCAUUGUACGCAUAUACAUCAUUUAUCUGUUUAUCCGUCGACGGGCACACCGCUAGUUUGUCUUCUGCCUGCUGCAAAUAAAUGCUGCUGUGAACACGGUUA